rnacentral:lncRNA from 10 species
GCAAGCUGCUCCUGAAAUUCAUGUGAAAAUGCAAGGGACCCAGAAUAGUCAAAACAAUCUUGAAAAAGAACAAAAUUGGAGGACUCACACUUCCAGAUUUGAAAACUUACUACAAAGCUACAGUAAUUAAGACAGGAUGGUACUGGCAUAGGGAUAGACAUAUAGAUCAAUGGAAUAGAAUUGAGAGUCUAAAAAUAAACCCUUACAUUUAUGGUAAAUUGAUUUGUGAUAAAGGUGCCAAGACAAUUCAAUGUAGAAAGAAUUGUCUUUUCAACAAAUUAUACUGGGACAACUGGAUAUCCAUAUACAAAAGAAUGAAAUUGGCCAGGCGUUGUGGCUCACGCCCAUAAUCCCAGCACU